CUCAGCCUCCCGAGUACGCGGGACCACAGGCGCCUGCCAUCAUGCCCGGCUAAUUUUUUUUUGUUUGUUUUUGUUUUUUUGUAUUGUUAGUAGAGACGGGGUUUCACCAUGUUAGCCAGGAUGGUCUUGAUGUCCUGACCUCGUGACCCGCCCGCCUCGGCCUCCCAAAGUGCGAAUGAAAGCUUUAAGAGGGCUGCUUGUUUCUGGCAGCUCUCAGGUUCUUCCUGUCUGCCUCAGAAGUGGCAUAUUCCACAUACGGGCUGCAUCUUCAGUCUGGACUCAUCCUCUUCAAGAUGAGACAGGUGGAGCAGAGCUGCCACCAACCUCCGGUGAUUUCCACACAAUGUGUCCUAGAAGAAGAGACCCUACACUGGGCUUGUGACCAGCGGAAACUGAAUCAAUGCUGGAGACACAUUCUAACAGUCGAAUGGGCAGCUCACAGGAGGGUCACUGGCCGCUGUGUGGAAAAGAGAAUGUGGGCUCACCAGAGUGAAUGCAAGGACACUGGUAGGGAGACUACUGAAAUCAUACAGGCAAAUGUGAUAGUGCCUUGAAAUAAGAUGGUAGUAACUAUAGCUGAUGGUUCUAUUUCUAAAAAGGAAUACUUUUAACUAACCUAUGAAUUACUAACUUAGUUAAAACCAUACAAACUAUUCAAUCAGCCCUGAAGUCAAAACAUGACAAAGUAAUCUUAAUAAAAGAAAACUAGUGAGCAAA